rnacentral:rRNA from 1 species
GAAACCGAGUCUUAACUGGGCGUUAAGUUGCAGGGUAUAGACCCGAAACCCGGUGAUCUAGCCAUGGGCAGGUUGAAGGUUGGGUAACACUAACUGGAGGACCGAACCGACUAAUGUUGAAAAAUUAGCGGAUGACUUGUGGCUGGGGGUGAAAGGCCAAUCAAACCGGGAGAUAGCUGGUUCUCCCCGAAAGCUAUUUAGGUAGCGCCUCGUGAAUUCAUCUCCGGGGGUAGAGCACUGUUUCGGCAAGGGGGUCAUCCCGACUUACCAACCCGAUGCAAACUGCGAAUACCGGAGAAUGUUAUCACGGGAGACACACGGCGGGUGCUAACGUCCGUCGUGAAGAGGGAAACAACCCAGACCGCCAGCUAAGGUCCCAAAGUCAUGGUUAAGUGGGAAACGAUGUGGGAAGGCCCAGACAGCCAGGAUGUUGGCUUAGAAGCAGCCAUCAUUUAAAGAAAGCGUAAUAGCUCACUGGUCGAGUCGGCCUGCGCGGAAGAUGUAACGGGGCUAAACCAUGCACCGAAGCUGCGGCAGCGACACUGUGUGUUGUUGGGUAGGGGAGCGUUCUGUAAGCCUGUGAAGGUGUGCUGUGAGGCAUGCUGGAGGUAUCAGAAGUGCGAAUGCUGACAUAAGUAACGAUAAAGCGGGUGAAAAGCCCGCUCGCCGGAAGACCAAGGGUUCCUGUCCAACGUUAAUCGGGGCAGGGUGAGUCGACCCCUAAGGCGAGGCCGAAAGGCGUAGUCGAUGGGAAACAGGUUAAUAUUCCUGUACUUGGUGUUACUGCGAAGGGGGGACGGAGAAGGCUAUGUUGGCCGGGCGACGGUUGUCCCGGUUUAAGCGUGUAGGCUGGUUUUCCAGGCAAAUCCGGAAAAUCAAGGCUGAGGCGUGAUGACGAGGCACUACGGUGCUGAAGCAACAAAUGCCCUGCUUCCAGGAAAAGCCUCUAAGCAUCAGGUAACAUCAAAUCGUACCCCAAACCGACACAGGUGGUCAGGUAGAGAAUACCAAGGCGCUUGAGAGAACUCGGGUGAAGGAACUAGGCAAAAUGGUGCCGUAACUUCGGGAGAAGGCACGCUGAUAUGUAGGUGAAGUCCCUCGCGGAUGGAGCUGAAAUCAGUCGAAGAUACCAGCUGGCUGCAACUGUUUAUUAAAAACACAGCACUGUGCAAACACGAAAGUGGACGUAUACGGUGUGACGCCUGCCCGGUGCCGGAAGGUUAAUUGAUGGGGUCAGCGCAAGCGAAGCUCUUGAUCGAAGCCCCGGUAAACGGCGGCCGUAACUAUAACGGUCCUAAGGUAGCGAAAUUCCUUGUCGGGUAAGUUCCGACCUGCACGAAUGGCGUAAUGAUGGCCAGGCUGUCUCCACCCGAGACUCAGUGAAAUUGAACUCGCUGUGAAGAUGCAGUGUACCCGCGGCAAGACGGAAAGACCCCGUGAACCUUUACUAUAGCUUGACACUGAACAUUGAGCCUUGAUGUGUAGGAUAGGUGGGAGGCUUUGAAGUGUGGACGCCAGUCUGCAUGGAGCCGACCUUGAAAUACCACCCUUUAAUGUUUGAUGUUCUAACGUGGACCCGUGAUCCGGGUUGCGGACAGUGUCUGGUGGGUAGUUUGACUGGGGCGGUCUCCUCCUAAAGAGUAACGGAGGAGCACGAAGGUUGGCUAAUCCUGGUCGGACAUCAGGAGGUUAGUGCAAUGGCAUAAGCCAGCUUGACUGCGAGCGUGACGGCGCGAGCAGGUGCGAAAGCAGGUCAUAGUGAUCCGGUGGUUCUGAAUGGAAGGGCCAUCGCUCAACGGAUAAAAGGUACUCCGGGGAUAACAGGCUGAUACCGCCCAAGAGUUCAUAUCGACGGCGGUGUUUGGCACCUCGAUGUCGGCUCAUCACAUCCUGGGGCUGAAGUAGGUCCCAAGGGUAUGGCUGUUCGCCAUUUAAAGUGGUACGCGAGCUGGGUUUAGAACGUCGUGAGACAGUUCGGUCCCUAUCUGCCGUGGGCGCUGGAGAACUGAGGGGGGCUGCUCCUAGUACGAGAGGACCGGAGUGGACGCAUCACUGGUGUUCGGGUUGUCAUGCCAAUGGCACUGCCCGGUAGCUAAAUGCGGAAGAGAUAAGUGCUGAAAGCAUCUAAGCACGAAACUUGCCCCGAGAUGAGUUCUCCCUGACCCUUUAAGGGUCCUGAAGGAACGUUGAAGACGACGACGUUGAUAGGCCGGGUGUGUAAGCGCAGCGAUGCGUUGAGCUAACCGGUACUAAUGAACCGUGAGGCUUAACCUUACAACGCCGAAGGUGUUU